CCUUAAACAAAUGCUGGUGCAGCUCCACCGUAUGUAGAAGAAGCAUAUGAUCUUUCCUUCUUAUUAGCUAGAAUGCUCCAAAUUCUUUAGCUGUGUUUGGAUGAACUCUCUCCUGUCAUAUAACACAUAUGCCGAUUAAAGGAUUUGGUACACCUGCACGUGUAGUAGAACUGGUUCCGAUAUGAUAGCAGAGAGCAGGUCCUUUUUUAGUUGGACAUUGAACUGAAUUCUCUGUCUUUGGUGCAUGAUUUCAGUUAUCUUCAGACAUGGUUUGUGUACCUGGCUGACAUAGUUUUUUUUGGUUCUGAUAUGGUAUAGCAAUAUUCCUCAUACAAAGCUGGUGGAGUACAAGGGGCACCAGAACUGGGUUAAUGUCUCGGGGAGCACCUGGUCUUUCUGGGAGGCGGAACUCAGUUCAAGCAUGGUGCUCUGCAUUACAUUGAUUUCAUUCAGGAGGCAAAGAAAGAUGUGGCAUGGGGAAAACUGACCUGUGUAGUUCUAGAUGCAGGCAAAGAAAGAUGUGACAUGAGGCCAGAGGUGGCCGGAUCUGGCAAAGGUAAGCCCCUCCCCUCCUUCUUCGUGCACCAUCUCCUCCUUACCUCACCUUGUCUCAUGUUCCUUUUUGACAGGUCCUCCCCUCCUCACCAUCUCCUUUGCCGGGCCAGGGUUCCGCCGAUCCCCCAAGGUGUAGCUCCUGGCCAUGGGGAAGCGCCAGCAGCCGGAGGCGGCCGAGCAGCCCAUGGCGCCGGUGCGAGGCCCUGCCCUCCUCACCAUCUUGUGAAUGGUGCAGGCCCCGAAGCGAGGCGGCAAGGCGCCGGUGUCGCGAAGAAGAAGGCGGCGUACAAGGUGGUGAACCCGCUGUUCGAGAAGAGGCCGAAGCAGUUUGGAAUCGGUGGCGACCUGCCGCACAAGAAGG